UUUUGUCUCGAGUAAUAGAUUUCUUCGAUUUUGAUUUCUCGAUUGCGAUUGAUUUCAUACUCCAAACUGUGUAAAUUCGAGACAAAUUGGACAAAAAGUUUGACGAAUUGGUGGCUUCAUCGACUCUUUUCAAACUUUCAGCCAAAUAAAGCAAUAAACUUAAUUGCCAGAUUUCUCGGCCUGUUGUAUAUAUAAUCACAGUGACUGUGUUUCUACUUCAAGCCUGCGACUGGCAUCUGGAUUUUCAUAGCCAGUUUGUAGUGUACUAUCGAAAGGACUGCAUUCCCUUCUUCGAGCCCAUGACUGGCAUCAGGAUUAUCAUAGUCAGCCUGUAGUGUACAAUCGAGGUGAGUGCCUGCCUUCCUCACUUGCGGCCCAUGACUGGCAUCAGGAAUUUAAUUGUCAGCCUGUAGUGUUAUCGAAAGGACUGCAUUUCCUUCUUCGAGCCCAUGACUGGCAUCAGGAUUAUCAUAGUCAGCCUGUAGUGUACAAUCGAGGUGAGUGCCUGCCUUCCUCACUUGCGGCCCAUGACUGGCAUCAGGAAUUUAAUUGUCAGCCUGUAGUGUUAUCGAAAGGACUGCAUUUCCUUCUUCGAGCCCAUGACUGGCAUCAGGAUUAUCAUAGUC